ensembl:lncRNA
CAGGAGCAGCCUCGGUAGGCAGGAUUGCUGUCCCAUGGGUUUCUACACCUUUCCUGGCUCUGUGGACAGCAUCACAAGUCCGAGAAGCUUUGGAAAGAGAGGCCAGUGCUAGGCUGUUUUAUCUGUUUGUGGGGGCUGGGGGUGAAUGAGAGGCCUUCUUGAGGUCUCUUCCAGCCAAGCACCUCCUGGAUAACCGCACUGAGUCGCUUCCCUUCAGAGCCUCAGUGAGCAGAAGCUAACAUUCCCAACAGGCAGCCUCAGUUUGAGCAGAGCCGAACAGCCCGACGGGCGGGCGAGGCCUGUCAUCCGUCCUGUCUGGCCACAUUCAUUCCGGGCUGUCCUGCUUUGUGGCUUCCUCACCACCACCCAAACUUGUCUGCAUGUCCUACAUCCAUCCAGAUCAGCAGAGAUGGCAGAAAUACUCCCUCAGGCCCUGCACACUCCUGGACGCACAGACCCGUCCUUCUUCUCAACAGGACUCCUGUCUCCUCCCGUCGCCCGUCCUCCAAGCCAGCCCUGAUUCCGACCGACGCUGCAAACACCCCACGACCCUGCAAUGGAGAAGCUCUAGUGCAACUCUGCCACUACCAGCCAAGAGACCUUGCAUAGCCAGGACUGUUGCCACCUAAAGUACUAGAUGUGAUCUUGCCCUCACCCUCAGACCCUGUGACCUUCCUGCCUUGGUACCAGGAUCCUGGCCUGACCACAGCCUCAACAUCCACACCCUCUCUGGGCUGGACCAACUCCUGCAAGUCGGGUGUGGCAACAGAUCAGACAGGUAUAACUAGGGGGUUGUUCUGGUAUUAACGAACUGGGUUGAUCUUGAACAAGUUGCUUCACCUUCUUAAGCCUCAGUUUCCUCAUAUGUAAAAUAGGGAUAAGAAUGGUUCUACUUCAUACGCGUAGGACUACUGUGGAUUAAAUGAGAAGUGUAUGUAAAACACUUAGCACAGUUAGGUAUUAAUGACAAUGAUAAUGAGGGUGACAAUAAUUCCCAAUCCCACUCCACCAGGACAUUUUGAGGACUUCAGCCAGAGGUGGCCAGAGGAGAGCCCUGUCUUGGCUCUAAACUGGGUCUUCUUCCUCUUUCCUGUUAGGAACUUUAUCCCUACUGCCACAUACUCCAUAAUCAUAUCCUGGCAUCCUGGCUGACCUGCUUACUGCAGAGAGCAAUAAAACGUUUCUCCCAACGAUUCACAGAAUUCAACACCUUGACUUUUAUUUUCUUAACAUUUGUUUCUCUUCUUUCUGUAGCUUGAAUGAGUCUGUUACCGCAAGAUGAGGGCCUCUUGCACCUGACUCCCUCGGAAUGCCCAUCCCUUGAUGCCUCCAGGCUCCAGCAGUGGAGGGUCGGGGAGCUCAGAUUUUAGAAAGGAUGGAGGAUCCUGGAAGAUUUCCUCCUCCUCGACCAGAAAGAGAAAACAGGAAUCCAAGUUGGAAAAUUCAGUUCUCAAUGAACAUAAUGACCUUCAUAAUUUUCUUCUCUGUAGCAGAUAUUUUGAUGGCUAUUCCCAAGGACUUCACGUUUAUGCAAGAUAACUGGUCUGACAUUCCUGUGUUAUCAAAUCUCCCUUCAGACACUUCCAGAAUCUGGAGAGUGGUUGUGAGCUGAUAACACUGUAGGAGUGCUAGUACCAACAAUGACUUUGGAUCUUGGGGUCCUCGUACCCUCAUGAAAUAGCCCUGUUCACCUUGUAGAACUGUGUCUUCUCUCCUUGGAAAUGUUUAAUGUCUGGCUGUCACGGCCAGUUUUACUAUUUAGGACAUGCGCACAUACAUCAACCUUAGGCAGAGCAUUAAGAAGAGAGAAUCCUUGUCUCCAUCUUUUCCCUUUCACUUCCCAAUUCCCCAGGCAUCAAUGCCCCGAUUCCUUUCCCCAGGGUUUAUCUCAAAGCAUGAAGACCAGGCAUGCUGUGGUUGGGCCAGCCAGGAUGCCAUUUACUCCACCAGAGGGAAGAGUCAAUGCACUGAGGACAAUUCCUGUAACUUUUCAGCACCUGAGGGUGUCGGAGAAGAAUGUGGUGAGACCAUCCAUCCAUGCUUCUGUGUCUUAUCCUCCCUGGACAUGCCAUCCGUGGACUUCAAAUCCGUCUCCGUGGGAAGCAAGCCCCAGGUUGUGCGUCUAUCGCAAACCGCGUCUCCAUCUUUGCGAACCAAGCUCAGUUUACUUUCACGUAUACAAAUGGGGCUGCUGGCCAGAGGCCUCCCAGGGAUUUCAGCGCGUGUGCUACUGACAGCAAUUCUCUCUCUCACUGAUUUAGAACGUCCACCUUGGUAUGGCAUGCAUCUACUUCUUAACCUUUAUUUACUUUGAAUGUUGAUCCCAGCACACCAUUUGCAGAAAACACAAAGGUGUUUCAAAAGAGCUGACAGGACCUAGUGGCUUGACACCCAGGUCUCCUGUCUUACCGGUCAACUAAGAGUAGCAGCAAUGCAGCUGAUGGAAAUAUCACGCCCAUGAGAGUCAGACCAACUGGUUAAACUCUUGGCUCUGCCAUGUGGAAGCUGUGUGGCUUAGCACUGAUUUCUACUGGGAACAAGUUUCUACUCCAUUCCCACGCCACAGUCAGAGAGUUGAGGGGGCAAAUAGGUCUUUACCCGGAAGCCCUGGAAACCUGAUCGCACGGUUGGCUGUGUGCCACCUGGUGGUGGAAAGAGGUAAAGCAGCAUCCUGAGGACAGAGUUUUGGAGCAAGAGGGACUUUUUAAAAUGACUUUAAUCUUGCCCCCUUAUUUUCAAUGGAGGAAAUUCAGGCUUAGAGAGAAUGACCGGCUUGUCUGAGUUCUCACAGGGGUAGAGUGUUGUGGUUAAGAGCAAGCAUUCUGGCGUCGCUGUGUCUGAAUCCAGCCUUGGCAGUCAGGAGCUGGCAGUGUAACCUUGGGCAAGUUUUGUAACUUCUCAGUAAUCAGGUUUCUUAUCUAUGAAAUCAUGCUCGCCACCUCAAGGGUUUUUAAGAUGACUAAAUUAGACAAUGCGUGUAGAAGUGCUUAGAACUGUGCCUGACUUCGGUAAGAGAUAAAUCUCUUACAGCAAUUUAUCCAUCUUCAAUAAUUUUCCCUACAAUGGAGAACACUCUUGCGAUUUCUCAUUCUGACCUGAGAGUAGGAGAAUGAAGAAUCGUAAAGACCAUAGAAGAAAGCAGCAGCAGAUAUCUGGCUUUCGGAGGGAACAUUUGACUCUGGUCUUUGAGUAAAGGGAGAGUGGAAGCUGCCAUUGGAUGCCAUUGUGGCUCAAAUUCAUCACCGCAGAUUCAAUGCCUUGGGUACUCUAUCAAUAUUUGCUAAAUGAGUGAAGGGAAAGGGGCCUGAGCACAGGGCUUGUGGACAGGAGUGACUCUUGUCUCAGAAAAGAGAGAUAGGAAAGAGAACUCAGAGAAGUCUCAUUUGGCCCUGUCCACUUGUGGCCCCAAAGGCCAGCUGGGAACCACUGCAGCAGGAAUUUCUCUGGCUUCCUCUGUUCUUAUAGUAAUGACAUUUACAAAGCCCACUUACUUAAUGCUACAGAUACCGUAUUCUUUCAAUAAGUGUGGACACCUUCAUCCUGUCUGUGGCUGGUCUGGCAGUUCCAUUGAAAACAGGACAGGUGAACCCUGCCAGAAGCCAGGGAGACAGGAGGGAAGAAAGGAAAUGAAUACCUCCACCUCUUUCUCCUCCUUCUCUCUAAUCUACUAAUGGUGCCUCCCAUGGGUCUGACCCAAGUCAGAGCCAGGGGCCAAGGAGCCCAGGUGAUGCAGCCCAGAGCCGUCAGCCUGCCAGGCUGAGGAACAGCUCAGAACACGGAUCCGAGGGAGCAAUGGAGAAGAAUAUGCACAGCUCGUACAUAUGCAUAGGAAGUUUAAAUUUUUCUGUUAUUUAUAUAUUCAACAGUACCUCUCUCAAUUUGAAGAAGUUCUUUAUAACCUCAUCUUAUGGUAUUGUAUUUCCACUCGUGGUGAAAAAAAAAAAGGAUUUUUUUCCCUUUAUCCUUCCCCAAUCCCUUUGCUUAUUCUCCUCCAAGUUCUUGUUGUGGCUCACACCCAGUAUCCACUAUGAUGGUGGAUAUUAGGAACUUAGAUGGAAAUGGAUAGAGAAACAGACAAGUGCACUUUUCUAGAACAUUCCUCACCUUCCCCAACCUUCAGUUUGUUCUCAGGGGCCUGCCCAUGAUGCUGGUGCCUAUGCAGAGUCAAGGAGGGAAAGAUGGAAAGAGGGUGAAGUGGGAGACUCAUGGAGAAGGAAAAGGAGAGAAAGGCUCGAUGGUGUCCUGAUUUGCAGUAGGCACCAUAGCUAAGGUUCCUUCACUCUAUUUCUAUAGGCCCAUGGACCCACUCAUUGAAUCAAUUAAUAUUUAUUGAAUAUAUAAUUGGGCCAGACACCGUGCUAAGCACUGAUGAGCAAUGCACAGCCCUGCCUGUAGGGAUCUUAGAGUCUACUUAUAUUUCACUGGUGCUGACAGUGUACAGCAGUUCACACGUAUCACCCGAUACAGGAUGUGCCCGAGACAGGAUGGAGCCCUGAGGAGGGCACUGAAAAGUUAGGGGAGGCUUCCUGAGUUGACUCUUAGGAACCGAGUAUGGGGCCAAGAGAUGAACAGAUGAAGGGAGCGGAGGGAGGAGAGGACGCACUGGCAGAAGGGAGAUCUUGUGCAAAGGCACAAAACAGCCAGAAGAGUUUGAGGCUGUUCUGGGAGACUGGGGCAAAGCGUGUAGGAAGCCCGGAGAGGAGGCUCAGUUGAAGUAGGCAGGUCCCAGAGCACCUGAAGGAUACGGUAAGUACUUCGAUUUUAUUCUGAGGAGAACAGGAAGGCAUCAAAGAGUUCCUCUCAGAGAGUAACUUGGCAAACACCAGUGUUAAAAACAAUCAUGGCGGCCGUAGUGAGGAGGCUGAGUGGGGCUGAGAAAUGGGAGUAGAGGGCUCUUACAGUAAACUGGGCAACUGAUGGCAAAUCCUGACCUUAGCUGGCUGCAAUCAGAGACUGGGAAUAAGGGAUGACACAGUCCAUAAAGAGAGGGCGGAGAGAGACGGCAUCCAGGAACAUCAGCUUCAGUUUCUGCCUCAAGUAAUUUGUCUUUUCCGCUUACACAAAAUUACUCCGUGAAUUUUGCUCCCUGUUUCAGUUAAAUGCAACACGGAGAGGAGAGAAAACCCUUUCUAGAUAAACAUCUAUUCCUUACAGAACCCACAGUCUCUACUGUCUACUUUGUUUAUGAAUUUCUACUUGAUUAUCAGAGAGAUGUGACUCUGAUCACAUCAAGCCCUUGAGGGCUUGUUCUUGGCAACACUAAGUCCCGUGGAAACUCUUGCUGGAACAAUCCAGUGCUCCCAAGCUCCCAGGUUAGGGUGUGAUGUGUGUCUCUGCCCAGACGCCUUGAGUGCGGGCAGCAACGCAGACCAUUGCCUUCAGCAAGGCGAAGGGGAUCCUGGCUGUAUGGUUUUUACCAUUUUCCAUCUUUAAUUGGAUGACUUUCUUUUAAAAUUCUUCCAGUUCGUUGAUGUGGAACAGCUACAGUUAAAACAUGUUCCACAAACUGACUCAACAAGCUUACCUGGUUUAUCAUUGACUGGCUCCGUGUCAAACCCCUAAGUUUAUAUCUGUCCCCCGGAGACUGGACAUGGACUCCAUUUGUAGAAAAGAGCUAUUUUGGAAUGAAUGUUGCUGCUCCCCAUUUUCUUUGACAGCUUCUUCCCAAAUGUCAUGAGAAGCCUCAGGAGGACAGUUUGGGGUAAUCUGAAGUCCAUAUUCCCACCUGUAACCCGUGAGACUGAGUCAAGACCAGCUGACCUUUGAAGCAGAAAGGUUAGUUUUGGAAACACCAAUUUAAUUUCUGUUCAGUUAUCAAUAGUGAGAUUAAAGCAUGUGGUGAAGGAGUCUGAGAGCACAUGUUCUUUCAAAACGUAACUGACAAUGAAACAGCUUGAUGCAAUAGUAAUUUCCUUUGCAGGAAGUAUAAAAAAUGUAAACUCAUUGAAGAAAAACUGUAAGAUAGCAUAUAAAUACAGCAUGCAUUUGUGAAAGUGUGUUUACGCCAGC